GGCUAAAUACGGGCGAGAGA
rnacentral:snRNA from 1 species